GGAGCUUUCUCCCAUUCCGAGCUGGACCCGCAUCCCACGAGCGCACAGCCCGCAGCAAGGGACGCAUCUCUGUGUUGACUGAUGGAAAACUGAGCCUGGCUGUGGGGAACAAUGAGCAAGACCCUUUUGCCUCUCUGGGCCUCAGUUUUCUCCAUCUGUGAAGUGGGUCAAAGCAGAGUGACUGUCAUGGGAUGAGACCCUUCAUAGUGAGUCCCUAACUCAGCCUGUUUGUGAUUAGAGAACUCAACAAAACCAGGGACAAAAUCAGCUCCUUGGAUGCCAGGACAAUUCUUCGAAUGGAAAGUCAAGCUGGCCCUUCAGCUCACAUGGGCUGACUCAUACCUAACCCCGAGCUGUUCCCCCCUCCCUGGAGCUCCCCAUAGUUUCCCCUUGGCCAGAGAGGAAGCUGAGCUCUGGAAGCAGGCACAGAAGAGGGUCCAGGGUGACUCAUUGAGCCUUCUUGCUCCUGAGUCACCCCUAGAGUAUUCACCUCAGGCUCUCACCCUCUGGGGCCCCUGUCAGCCUUUUCCUGCCUGAUGGAUAGCCCUGCCCAGCAGUCACUCCUGGAAGACAGGUUCCCAUGAUUCUCUGCUACCCUCCCUAGACUCAGGUAUGCACCUGUACAGUUGUGUAUGUUGCCAAAAUAUGGAGACAACUCCCACUAUGGUUGAAUGGUGAUUGCUCUGAACCCUAGGGCCCUGGCCUUCUCCCUACAUGGCCUAGUCACAAAGGGACGACUCUGAAGAUCAGAAAUCUCACUCCAGGACCAUCCCUGGUUCUCUUUCACUCACCAUGAGGGUUUCUUUGCAAGGAGGUCACCCUGCAAAGGUGGCUCUAGGUGGGGCUGAACAAGCUCUGCCAGGCGCAGCAUCCCUGCAGGACAGGCUGCCUUGCCUCCUGUCCACGCCCAGCUGCUUCUUCCUGCCUGCUGCCUGCUCCUCCCCUUCUGAGCCCUGCUAGGCUCACGCAUACCAGACCAGUGCAGCCGCAUUCUUGGGCCAGUGUCUAGGGUGUGAAUGACCCUGGGUCUGGUCAGGUCAGAAGGUCAGGGCCUUGUUCCCUCCAAUGCCCAGAAUACCAAGUGAUAGUCAGGCUACAAGGCACAGACCUAGA